GACGAACGCUGGCGGCGUGCUUAACACAUGCAAGUGGAGCGACGAACCAGGGCUUGCCCUGGGGCAGAGCCGCGAACGGGUGAGUAACACGUGGGUAACGUGCCCCGAUGACUGGGACAACCCGGGGAAACCCGGGCUAAUACCGGAUGUGCCCCCUCACAUCAGUGAGGUGUGUAAAGGAAGCUUCGGCCUCCGCAUCGGGAUCGGCCCGCGGCCCAUUAGCUUGUUGGUGAGGUAACGGCUCACCAAGGCUGCGAUGGGUAGCUGGUCUGAGAGGACGAUCGGCCACACUGGGACUGAGACACGGACCAGACUCCUACGGGAGGCAGCAGUGGGGAAUCUUGCGCAAUGCGCGAAAGCGUGACGCAGCAACGCCGCGUGGGGGAAGACGGCCUUCGGGUUGUAAACCCCUUUCAGUUGGGACGAAGGUCGGGCGGUUAACAGCCGUUCCGGCUGACGGUACCUUCACAAGAAGCCCCGGCUAACUACGUG
rnacentral:rRNA from 1 species